GGGAGAGGAGAGGAGAGGAGAGGAGGUGGAGAGGAGAGGAGGUGGAGGGCAACAUGACAUGAAAACCAGCUCAUAUAAAAGAGAGGAGAAACAGAGACAUGAAGAGAUGAGGAAAAACAUUAAAGAGAAGAGGAGAGGAGGUGGGGGUGAUAUGUAAACCCUCUCACGUAAAAGAGAGAUGAUGAAAAAGGAGAGGAGAGGAGGAUGGAGACGAGAGGAGAAGAGGGUGGAGAGGAGGUGGAGGGCAACAUGAAGUGUAAACCCUCUCAUAUAAAAGAGAGGAGAAACAGAGACAUGAAGAGAUGAGGAAAAACAUUAAAAAGAAGAGGAGAGGAGAGGAGAGGAGGUGGGGGUGAUAUGUAAACCCUCUCAUGUAAAAGAGAGGAGAGGAGGAGGUGGAGGGCUAUGAAGAGUGAACCGUCUCCAUCAUUUAAAAAAUGCCAUCAGUUUAUUUCAUAUUGUCUAAAUGAUACACAUGAAUAAUCCAUCUGUUCACAUUCAGUUACUGAAAAUUUACCAUUAUUCUACUUGUCUGCAUUUUUUAGGAAGAGGAGAGAAGA